rnacentral:rRNA from 1 species
GACGAACGCUGGCGGCGUGCUUAACACAUGCAAGUCGAACGGAAAGGCCCUGCUUUUGUGGGGUGCUCGAGUGGCGAACGGGUGAGUAACACGUGAGUAACCUGCCCUUGACUUUGGGAUAACUUCAGGAAACUGGGGCUAAUACCGGAUAGGAGCUCCCGCUGCAUGGGGGGGGUUGGAAAGUUUCGGCGGUUGGGGCUGGACUCGCGGCUUAUCAGCUUGUUGGUGGGGUAGUGGCUUACCAAGGCUUUGACGGGUAGCCGGCAUGGGAGGGUGAACGGCCACAUUGGGACUGAGAGACGGCCCAGACUCCUACGGGAGGCAGCAGUGGGGAAUAUUGCACAAUGGGCGGAAGCCUGAUGCAGCAACGCCGCGUGCGGGAUGACGGCCUUCGGGUUGUAAACCGCUUUCGCCUGUGACGAAGCGUGAGUGACGGUAAUGGGUAAAGAAGCACCGGCUAACUACGUG